UACGUAGGGUGCGAGCGUUGUUCGGAAUUACUGGGCGUAAAGCGUGCGCAGGCGGCUUUGCAAGACAGAUGUGAAAUCCCCGGGCUCAACCUGGGAACUGCAUUUGUGACUGCAAGGCUAGAGUACGGCAGAGGGGGAUGGAAUUCCGCGUGUAGCAGUGAAAUGCGUAGAUAUGCGGAGGAACACCAAUGGCGAAGGCAAUCCCCUGGGCCUGUACUGACGCUCAUGCACGAAAGCGUGGGGAGCAAACAGG
rnacentral:rRNA from 1 species